CUGCGGCGGAUUAGCUAGUUGGUGGGGUAACGGCCUACCAAGGCGAUGAUCCGUAGGGGGCGUGAGAGCGUGGCCCCCCACACUGGCACUGAGAUACGGGCCAGACUCCUACGGGAGGCAGCAGUGAGGAAUAUUGCACAAUGGGCGCAAGCCUGAUGCAGCAACGCCGCGUGAGGGACGAAGGCCUUCGGGUUGUAAACCUCUUUUCUGAGGGACGAGGAAGGACGGUACCUCAGGAAUAAGUCUCGGCUAACUACGUGCCAGCAGCCGCGGUAAAACGUAGGAGGCGAGCGUUAUCCGGAUUUACUGGGCGUAAAGCGCGCGCAGGUGGCUUCGUGAGUCGGACAUGAAAGCUCCUGGCUUAACUGGGAGAGGCUGUUCGAUACUGCGGGGCUUGAGGUUGGGAGAGGGACGCGGAAUUCCCGGUGUAGUGGUGGAAUGCGUAGAUAUCGGGAGGAACACCAGUGGCGCAAGCGGCGUCCUGGCCCACACCUGACGCUGAGGUGCGAAAGCGUGGGUAGCAAACAGGAUUAGAUACCCUGGUAGUCCACGCUGUAAACGAUGUCAACUGGGUGUCGGUAGUUUUACACUAUCGGUGCCGAAGCUAACGCG
rnacentral:rRNA from 1 species